GCGCAGCAGGCGCGAAACCUCCGCAAUACACGAAAGUGUGACGGGCCAUCCCGAGUGCCGUCCGCUGAGGACGGCUUUUCCCAGUGUACAUAGCUGGGGAAUAAGGAGAGGGCAAGCCUGGUGUCAGCCGCCGCGGUAAGUACCAGCUCGUCCGAGUGGUGGGACGCUUAUUGGGCCUAAAGCAAGUCCGUAGCCGGCUGGGCAAGUCCUCCGUUAAAUCCAACGAUU
rnacentral:rRNA from 1 species